rnacentral:rRNA from 1 species
UACGUAGGUGGCAAGCGUUGUCCGGAAUUAUUGGGCGUAAAGCGCGCGCAGGCGGCUAUGUAAGUCUGGUGUUAAAGCCCGGGGCUCAACCCCGGUACGCAUCGGAAACUGUGUAGCUUGAGUGCAGAAGAGGAAAGCGGUAUUCCACGUGUAGCGGUGAAAUGCGUAGAUAUGUGGAGGAACACCAGUGGCGAAGGCGGCUUUCUGGUCUGUAACUGACGCUGAGGCGCGAAAGCGUGGGGAGCAAACA